rnacentral:tRNA from 2 species
AGGGGUGUCGCCAAGUGGUAAGGCAACGGAUUCUGAUUCCGUCAUCCGUAGGUUCGAGUCCUUCCACCCCUGCCA